rnacentral:rRNA from 1 species
CCUACGGGUGGCAGCAGUGGAGAAUAUUGGACAAUGGGCGAAAGCCUGAUCCAGCAAUGCCGCGUGUGUGUAGAACGUCUUCGGAUUGUAAAGCACUUUCGACGGGGACGAUGAUGACGGUACCCGUAGAAGAAGCCCCGGCUAACCUCGUGCCAGCAGCCGCGGUAAUACGAAGGGGGCUAGCGUUGCUCGGAAUGACUGGGCGUAAAGGGCGCGUAGGCGGUUUAUGCAGUCAGAUGUGAAAUCCCCGGGCUUAACCUGGGAACUGCAUUUGAGACGCAUAGACUAGAGGUCGAGAGAGGGUUGUGGAAUUCCCAGUGUAGAGGUGAAAUCCGUAGAUAUUGGGAAGAACACCGGUGGCGAAGGCGGCAACCUGGCUCGAUACUGACGCUGAGGCGCGAAAGCGUGGGGAGCGAACAGGAUUAGAUACCCUUGUAGUC